rnacentral:rRNA from 1 species
GACGAACGCUGGCGGCGUGCUUAACACAUGCAAGUCGAACGGAAAGGCCCUGCUUUUGUGGGGUGCUCGAGUGGCGAACGGGUGAGUAACACGUGAGUAACCUGCCCUUGACUUUGGGAUAACUGCAGGAAACUGGGGCAAAUACCGGAUAGGAGCGCCUGCUGCAUGGUGGGGGUUGGAAAGUUUCGGCGGGUGGGGAUGGACUCGCGGCUUAUCAGCUUGUUGGUGGGGUAGUGGCUUACCAAGGCUUUGGCGGGUAGCCGGCCUGAGAGGGUGACCGGCCACAUUGGGACUGGGGUACGGCCCGGACUCCUACGGGAGGCAGCAGUGGGAGAUAUUGCGCAAUGGGCGGAAGCCUGGUGCAGCAACGCCGCGUGCGGGAUGACGGCCUUCGGGUUGUAAACCGCUUUCGCCUGUGACGAAGCGUGAGUGACGGUAAUGGGUAAGGAAGCACCGGCUAACUACGUG